rnacentral:rRNA from 1 species
AGUGAACGCUGGCGGUAGGCCUAACACAUGCAAGUCGAACGGCAGCACAGUAAGAGCUUGCUCUUACGGGUGGCGAGUGGCGGACGAGUGAGGAAUACAGCGGAAUCUACUUUUUCGUGGGGGAUAACGUAGGGAAACGUACGCUAAUACCGCAUACGACCUACGGGUGAAAGCAGGGGAUCUUCGGACCUUGCGCGAUUGAAUGAGCCGAUGUCGGAUUAGCUAGUUGGCGGGGUAAAGGCCCACCAAGGCGACGAUCCGUAGCUGGUCUGAGAGGAUGAUCAGCCACACUGGAACUGAGACACGGUCCAGACUCCUACGGGAGGCAGCAGUGGGGAAUAUUGGACAAUGGGCGCAAGCCUGAUCCAGCCAUACCGCGUGGGUGAAGAAGGCCUUCGGGUUGUAAAGCCCUUUUGUUGGGAAAGAAAAGCAGCAGGUUAAUACCCCGCUGUUCUGACGGUACCCAAAGAAUAAGCACCGGCUAACUUCGUG